rnacentral:misc_RNA from 1 species
UCCGGUUUGGCACCGGCAGUCUCUCAUGAGUCCCCGACAUUACUCGCUGGCAACAUGAGACAGGGGUUGCGCUCGUUGCGCCACUUAAGGCAACACCUAACGGCACGAGCUGACGACAGCCAUGCAGCACCUGUGCAUGCUCCCCUUGCGGGGUCGUCCCGCUUUCACGGUUCUACCACAUGCAUGUCAAGGCCAGGUAAGGUUCUUCGCGUUGCAUCGAAUUAAGCCACAUACUCCACCGCUUGUGCAGGCCCCCGUCAAUUCCUUUGAGUUUUAGCCUUGCGGCCGUACUCCCCAGGCGGGGCGCUUAAUGCGUUAGCUGCGGCACAGAGAACCGGAGAGGCCCCCCCACACCUAGCGCCCAACGUUUACAGCGUGGACUAC